UAUCUGUGAUGAUCUUAUCCCGAACCUGAACUUCUGUUGAAAAAAAAAAAAACUUUUACGGAUCUGGCUUCUGAGAU
rfam:Nomascus leucogenys chromosome 3, whole genome shotgun sequence.